ACAAUAUCGUGUCCGAUUCAUCGAUAUCAUAGCCAAUAUAAAAGCCUAAAUAUCUGUAACUUUUCAAAAUUCAUAUUGUUAUUAUCAUUUAAUAGGCGUGGUCAUUAAAGCCUUGCGAUAUGUUUGGUCAAAACGUUGCAAAUCCUCAAUCUAUAAACGUGCGACGUCACACGUGGAAACGUUAAACUUUCGUGGUCGUAACAUGCACGUUCGAACAUCAAAAUGUUACAAUAAAACUUUUGGAGUCCAAACUCUAGAGAAAAUCGCAGUAUACAUGAAAAAAUAUUGGGUCGAGCAAUGGACGACUUGCGAUUUAGACUAAAUUUUAAUCUAAGUAAGAACAACGAAAUUUAACACCACAGCUAGAAAGAGCGUCUUGGAAUUAGUAAUAUUACAAAGUUUGGUUGCGAAAUGUUGUAAAAUACGGAAAAUAUAGCUCUUCAAAUUGGCAAAUUUGUACACUUUUGUAUUACGUGCGUGAAUUGGUAACUAAAUUAGUUACCAAUUUCCGUACGUAAUAGAAAUGUAUACAAAUUUGCCAACUUCGCAGGGCUAUAUUUUCCGUAUUUUACAACAUUUCGCAACCAAACUUUGCAGUUUUUCUAAUUUUGAUAACUUCUUUCCAAAAAUUUCCUUUGUUAUUUCGCAGAUUAAAAAUUUUUCUAAAGCGCAAGUCUGUGAAUGUUAAACGCUCAAAGCUAAGAUUACUCGACCAAGUUCUUAUUUUGGCAAAACAAUCGAAAAAAAGUUAAUCCAGUUUUUGGUUAUUUUAAUGAAUAAAAUAUUGCUCAGUUCAAAUCAGUGAGCUCCAUAUAUACUGUAUAUCUGGUGUAAGAACUUGGUUGCUCAAAGUGAAUCCAGUUUCUUGUUAACCGCGCAUACAAAAACAUUAGAAAGGGACUGGGACUGACUUCCAACAGCUCCUUCAAUUUCUGCCAUCUUGGCAAGGAGUGUGUUGAAAUUUCGUAUUUUGAUUUCGAUUUAAAGAAUAGUAUUGUGAUUUUAUGAACUGAAAACUUGAUUAGUGAUACGGUCCAUUAGAAAGAACUGGAAUUAGCUUGGGAAAAUGAUAUAAAAACUGUUUACGACCUUCAGAAAUAUUGGACGUCAAUGGCCGCCAUCUUGGCUUCACUUGGCUUCACUUUUCUCAUUGACCGAAUGACUGAAGUUCUUACUCCAGAUAUGUAUAUAGAGUUCACUGGUUCAAAUAUGUGCAUCUGCGACAAGGAAUUAAAAUUAUUUGUUUAACG